UGGGGAAUCUUGCACAAUGGGGGCAACCCUGAUGCAGCGACGCCGCGUGAGCGAUGAAGCCCUUCAGGGUGUAAAGCUCUUUCGGCAGGGAAGAUUAUGACGGUACCUGCAGAAGCAGCUGCGGCUAACUACGUGCCAGCAGCCGCGGUAAUACGUAGGCAGCAAGCGUUGUUCGGAGUUACUGGGCGUAAAGGGUGCGUAGGCGGCUCGAUAAGUAUGGUGUGAAAUCUCCCGGCUUAACUGGGAGGGUGCGCUAUAGACUGCCGGGCUAGAGUGUGGGAGAGGAAAGUGGAAUUCCUGGUGUAGCGGUGAAAUGCGUAGAUAUCAGGAGGAACACCGGUGGUGUAAACGGCUUUCUGGACCAUAACUGACGCUGAGGCACGAAAGCGUGGGUAGCAAACAGGAUUAGAUACCCUGGUAGUCCACGCCCUAAACGAUGCAUAUUUGGUGUGGGUCAUUCAGUUGAUCCGUGCCGGAGCUAACGCGUUAAAUAUGCCGCCUGAGGAGUACAGUCGCAAGGC
rnacentral:rRNA from 1 species